rnacentral:rRNA from 1 species
UACGAAGGGUGCAAACGUUAUCCGGAUUCACUGGGUUUAAAGGGUGCGUAGGUGGGUCUGUAAGUCCGUGAUGAAAUCUCCAGGCUUAACUUGGAAACUGCCAUGGAUACUAUAGGUCUUGAAUAUUGUGGAGGUCAGCGGAAUAUGUCAUGUAGCGGUGAAAUGCUUAGAUAUGACAUAGAACACCAAUUGCGAAGGCAGCUGGCUACACAAAUAUUGACACUGAGGCACGAAAGCGUGGGGAUCAAACAGG